GAUCAUGGCUCAGGACGAACGCUGGCGGCGUGCUUCAUACAUGCAAGUCGUACGAGAAUCUCUAGCUUGCUAGAGAGGAAAGUGGCGGACGGGUGAGUAAUGUGUAGAGAAUCUGCCCUUGAGAGGGGGACAACAGCUGGAAACGGUUGCUAAUACCCCAUAUGAGCGUACCUGCGAUGGUAUUCUUGAAAACUCCGGUGCUCAAAGAUGAGUCUGCAU
rnacentral:rRNA from 1 species